CUUACUUGACAAAUGUUGUCUUGGGUCUUGUCCUGGACAAUAAUGUCAAUGAAGAGAAAAAUUUUUGCUAAUCUGCGCAGAUGAUGCUUCACUUGUUUUUAUACAAAUGACAAAAUAGAUGCAGUAUCAUCUCCUCCAUUUUUUUUUCCCCUCAGUAGUCGGAAUAAAAAAUAUGCUCACUUGGCCUUCUCUUAAAAGUUUUGUGAUCUUUUUAGCUGAAAUGUGGCUGCCCAUGUAGUUUUUUUCUUCUUUGUACUAUGAUUUCUAUAUCAUACUUUUCUCUCCAGAAUUUGAUUUUACGAACAGACGGAGAAAAGGGUGCUGAAAAUUCUGAGCAAUCUAGAAGCACAAGUGAGGCUGAAAUCUUACCUUCAAAAAGUUAGAACAUUGGAGAUGCAUUAGAAAACCAAGUUGAAAACAUCAAGGAUGAAAAGCAAACAUCUGUUGUUGAGGCUGAAAUUCCUUCUACCAUACAAAUUGAAAAUGAAAAAUGGAACCCACCCUGAAGAAAAAUGGCCCUUUUGAUACUUCAAAUGCACAAAGCAACAAUGCUUCCCCUGAGGGGAGUGUAACUAAAGUAAAACUGCUUCGAGAAGAAACAAGAGCAGAAAUGAUGGAUUUCAGGAAAGUUCUCUGAUAGACUGGAGGGGACAUUGUUAAAGCUCAGGAGUUCCUUAGAAAGAAAGGAUCAGCAAGCGCAGAAAAGAAAACCCGGUAGAGCCACAACUGAGGGAAUAAUUGGUUCCUACAUUCAUGACGGCAGGAUCGGUAUCCUGAUAGAGAUGAUCUGUGAAACAGAUUUUGCCUCUCGAGGUGACAUUUUGAAGGAACUAGUGGAUGACUUAGAAAUGCAUGUGGCAGCAUUAUCGAAGAUGUUCCUGAAGAGAUUGUAAACAAGGAAAGAGAAAUUGAGUUGCGGAAGGAAGAUCUCUUGUCAAGACCAUAGCAGA